AUUGAACGCUGGCGGCAGGCCUAACACAUGCAAGUCGAGCGGAUGAAGGGAGCUUGCUCCUGGAUUCAGCGGCGGACGGGUGAGUAAUGCCUAGGAAUCUGCCUGGUAGUGGGGGAUAACGUCCGGAAACGGGCGCUAAUACCGCAUACGCCCUGAGGGAGAAAGUGGGGGAUCUUCGGACCUCACGCUAUCAGAUGAGCCUAGGUCGGAUUAACUAGUUGGUGGGGUAAAGGCCUACCAAGGCGACGAUCCGUAACUGGUCUGAGAGGAUGAUCAGUCACACUGGAACUGAGACACGGUCCAGACUCCUACGGGAGGCAGCAGUGGGGAAUAUUGGACAAUGGGCGAAAGCCUGAUCCAGCCAUGCCGCGUGUGUGAAGAAGGUCUUCGGAUUGUAAAGCACUUUAAGUUGGGAGGAAGGGCAGUAAGUUAAUACCUUGCUGUUUUGACGUUACCAACAGAAUAAGCACCGGCUAACUUCGUG
rnacentral:rRNA from 1 species